AACGCGAAGAACCUUACCGGGGCUUGACAUCGGAGGACAACUCUAGAAAUAGAGCUUAGGGGCAACCCUACUUCCAGACAGGUGCUGCAUGGCUGUCGUCAGCUCGUGCCGUGAGGUGUUGGGUUAAGUCCCGCAACGAGCGCAACCCUCGUCGUGUGUUGGUCCACAAGAUCUCUCACACGAGACUGCCGGGGUCAACUCGGAGGAAGGUGGGGACGACGUCAAGUCAUCAUGCCCCUUACGUCCAGGGCUGCACACAUGCUACAAUGGCUGGUACAACGGGCUGCUAAUCCGCGAGGAGGAGCCAAUCCCCAAAGCCAGUCUCAGUUCGGAUUGGAGUCUGCAACUCGACUCCAUGAAGUCGGAGUCGCUAGUAAUCCCGGAUCAGCAACGCCGGGGUGAAUACGUUCCCGGGCCUUGUACACACCGAGCGAC
rnacentral:rRNA from 1 species